UUGCGCUCAGGAUCAGCGGGUCUCUGUGCAGGUGAGAGGCACUGAACAGACGUUAACAGAUGCUCACAGACGAGCAGGUGAAGCAGGUGAUGCAGGUGAAGCAGGUGAUGCAGGUGAACGGUCGGCCGGCACAAAUACAGAAGCCACAAAGUCCCAAAACAUGUUUUCUUUCUUUUCUUUUUUUUAACCAGCUUUUUCUGACAAGUGAAAAAAAAUGUAAUCAAAUCAUUUCAGUAGACGAUCGAGUCCUAAAACUUUCUUAAAAUAAGUGAACAUUUCUGACUUGAGACGUUAAAACGUGUUUACAAAUUAUUUUAGGGAUAAAAGUUGACCUGUGAGGCGAAAUAAAGGUUGUUUUUUUUUUAGAAAGAGAAAUAGCUUUAAAUAAGUUGAUUCAUGUUUAAAACAGACUGAAAUACUAAAUAACUUUUUCAUUGAUUUUAAGAAAAUAAAACUUAAAGGAAUCCGUUACAUAAAAAAUAAAGUUCUUUGAUGUUAAAUUGUUUUCUUUCUGUACAGCUCAGAUAUAUUAACUGAAUAUUAAUAAAAUCAAGAGGUCAUAUUUCCUCAAUAAACUCAUGUUUCACUCAGGUGAGUUCACACCUGCAGUCUUUUGUUUUGUCACUGAAGCCUUGUUUGUUUGUGCUGCCUGUUUCUGAUGACAUCACUCUUGUUUACUUCCUGUCGAGACGAUGUCAGAGGACGUUUCAGUGUUUUUAUUCAGUUUUUUUCCCUCUCUGUUGUCUGUAUUGUAUUUAUUCACCAAUCUGCUUUUAAAAUCUAUCAUAUUGAUCAGUAAUUGAUUGAUCUGUACUCUGUUGUCUAAUAAAUACCAAGGAAAUUCA